rnacentral:rRNA from 1 species
UACGGGGGGGGCAAGCGUUGUUCGGAAUUACUGGGCGUAAAGGGCUCGUAGGUGGCCAACUAAGUCGGACGUGAAAUCCCUCGGCUUAACCGGGGAACUGCGUCCGAUACUGGUUGGCUUGAGUUUGGGAGAGGGACGCGGAAUUCCAGGUGUAGCGGUGAAAUGCGUAGAUAUCAGGAGGAACACCGAUAGCGAAGGCAGCUCGCUGGGACGGUACUGACGCUGAGGUGCGAAAGCGUGGGGAGCGAACAGG